rnacentral:rRNA from 1 species
GUCUAGUUAGCAAUUAUACAGCGAAACUGCGAAUGGCUCAUUAUAUAAGUUAUCGUUUAUUUGAUAGUACCUUACUACUUGGAUAACCGUGGUAAUUCUAGAGCUAAUACAUGCUAAAAAUCCCGACUUCGGAAGGGAUGUAUUUAUUAGAUUAAAAACCAAUGCCCUUCGGGGCUCCUUGGUGAUUCAUGAUAACUUCUCGAAUCGCAUGGCCUUGCGCCGGCGAUGGUUCAUUCAAAUUUCUUCCCUAUCAACUUUCGAUGUUUGGGUAUUGGCCAAACAUGGUUGCAACGGGUAACGGAGGGUUAGGGCUCGACCCCGGAGAAGGAGCCUGAGAAACGGCUACUACAUCCAAGGAAGGCAGCAGGCGCGCAAAUUACCCAAUCCCGACACGGGGAGGUAGUGACAAUAAAUACUGAUACAGGGCUCUUUUGGGUCUUGUAAUUGGAAUGAGUACAAUUUAAAUCCCUUAACGAGGAACAAUUGGAGGGCAAGUCUGGUGCCAGCAGCCGCGGUAAUUCCAGCUCCAAUAGCGUAUAUUAAAGUUGUUGUGGUUAAAAAGCUCGUAGUUGAACCUUGGGCCUGGCUGGCCGGUCCGCCUCACCGCGUGUACUGGUCCGGCCGGGCCUUUCCCUCUGUGGAACCCCAUGCCCUUCACUGGGUGUGGCGGGGAAACAGGACUUUUACUUUGAAAAAAUUAGAGUGCUCCAGGCAGGCCUAUGCUCGAAUACAUUAGCAUGGAAUAAUAGAAUAGGACGUGUGGUUCUAUUUUGUUGGUUUCUAGGACCGCCGUAAUGAUUAAUAGGGACAGUCGGGGGCAUCAGUAUUCCGUUGUCAGAGGUGAAAUUCUUGGAUUUACGGAAGACUAACUACUGCGAAAGCAUUUGCCAAGGAUGUUUUCAUUAAUCAGGAACGAAAGUUAGGGGAUCGAAGACGAUCAGAUACCGUCGUAGUCUUAACCAUAAACUAUGCCGACUAGGGAUCGGACGAUGUUAUUUUUUGACUCGUUCGGCACCUUACGAGAAAUCAAAGUGCU